rnacentral:miRNA from 1 species
UCUUCAACCUCAGGACUUGCA